rnacentral:rRNA from 1 species
UUUUGAAAGUAAAAGUCGUAACAAGGUCUCCGUAGGUGAACUUGCGGAGGGAUCAUUACACAAAUAUGAAGGCGGGCUGGAACCUCUCGGGGUUACAGCCUUGCUGAAUUAUUCACCCUUGUCUUUUGCGUACUUCUUGUUUCCUUGGUGGGUUCGCCCACCACUAGGACAAACAUAAACCUUUUGUAAUUGCAAUCAGCGUCAGUAACAAAUUAAUAAUUACAACUUUCAACAACGGAUCUCUUGGUUCUGGCAUCGAUGAAGAACGCAGCGAAAUGCGAUAAGUAGUGUGAAUUGCAGAAUUCAGUGAAUCAUCGAAUCUUUGAACGCACAUUGCGCCCUUUGGUAUUCCAAAGGGCAUGCCUGUUCGAGCGUCAUUUGUACCCUCAAGCUUUGCUUGGUGUUGGGCGUCUUGUCUCUAGCUUUGCUGGAGACUCGCCUUAAAGUAAUUGGCAGCCGGCCUACUGGUUUCGGAGCGCAGCACAAGUCGCACUCUCUAUCAGCAAAGGUCUAGCAUCCAUUAAGCCUUUUUUUCAACUUUUGACCUCGGAUCAGGUAGGGAUACCCGCUGAACUUAAGCAUAUCAAUAAGCGGAGGACAAA